rnacentral:rRNA from 1 species
UACGUAGGUGGCAAGCGUUGUCCGGAUUUACUGGGCGUAAAGAGCGCGCAGGCGGUUGUUUAAGUCGACUGUGAAAGCCCCCGGCUCAACUGGGGAGGGUCAUUCGAUACUGAUCGACUUGAAGGCAGGAGAGGGAAGUGGAAUUCCGGGUGUAGUGGUGAAAUGCGUAGAUAUCCGGAGGAACACCAGUGGCGAAGGCGGUUCUCUGGGAAUAUCCUGACGCUGAGGAGCGAAAGUGUGGGGAGCGAACAGG